UACGUAGGGGGCUAGCGUUGUCCGGAAUCAUUGGGCGUAAAGAGCGUGUAGGCGGUCCGGUAAGUCCGUUGUGAAAGUCAGGGGCUCAACCCUUGAAUGCCGGCGGAUACUGUCGGGCUAGAGUCCGGAAGAGGCAAGCGGAAUUCCCGGUGUAGCGGUGAAAUGCGCAGAUAUCGGGAGGAACACCUAUGGCGAAGGCAGCUUGCUGGGACGGUACUGACGCUGAGACGCGAAAGCGUGGGGAGCAAACAGG
rnacentral:rRNA from 1 species